UCUUCACUCCCACACACCCUCCUCCUCCCCUCCCCACGAAAUAUUGCUCCCCCAAGGCUUCAUGGCCGGCCAUGGCCAUGGAAAGAGCUCCAAGAUGAAGUCCCCUCCUCCCUCAAGCUCCUCCUCACCAUGAGAGCCUCCCUCUCCUUCUUCUCCCCAACCCUAGAGGGUUUUCUCUCCUCUUCCUCUUCCUCCAUUGCUAAGAUUGGAUCUUGAUGCAGGUGCAUGUUGGUCCAAGCAUGGAGAAGCUUGAGCAAUCCUCAGAUCUGAAGUUCUUGAGCAAAAUCCAAAUCGAGUGAUUCAAAGUUCCGCGGAUAGGUAUUCAAAAGAUCUACAACUUGGCGUUGGUCUCAUCCUCAAAUUCGCUACAGAUUCUCCCUGAUCAAGAUCUGGACAGAUCUGGCUUUGUCGAAUUAAACCAGGAGCUUGGGAACAAAUUUUUGAAUGAAACAAAUUGGGGGAUGUUUGGGUUAUACCAUGGUGAUAACAGAGAGAGGCAAUUGCUAAGUUGUGAUACUCUCAUACCUUUACUAGGUAAAUAACAUGGGUUUUCUUUAAGUUGUUUGUGGUAUCUAUAAGUCCUUUGUAUGGUAGCUCUUUAUUGAAUGGUUAAAUUAUGGUUGUUGUAUGUUUGUUUUGUUGGUGCAAUGUGAUUGAUUGUGUUCCUUUUUAUAUU